UUGUAUCAAAUGCAAUAUUUUAUUUUAUUUCCUAACUAUAUGUAAAUACCAGACAAAUAGUGUGGCUUAAAUUAUGUCAUAUAUGUGCAGAAUAUUAUUAUUAAUGAUUUUCACAACCUUCAACAUGUGUGAACUACGUCGAAAUUACAAGCCAGAAUACCGUUUCAUCAACUACCCUACAUACAAGUUUAAUCCAAUCUUAAACAAACUCGUCUCUAAAACUACUUCAAUUCAAUGGAUGAGAUAUAUUUAAAACGAGACAUAAUUCAUCUCUUGUGUAAUGAGAAAAUCUACACAUUGUACCAAAAUGACAUUCCCCUUUUAGAUAUUUCAGACAUGGUUUUUUAU